rnacentral:rRNA from 1 species
GACGAACGCUGGCGGCGUGCUUAACACAUGCAAGUCGAACGGAAAGGCCCUGCUUUUGUGGGGUGCUCGAGUGGCGAACGGGUGAGUAACACGUGAGUAACCUGCCCUUGACUUUGGGAUAACUUCAGGAAACUGGGGCUAAUACCGGAUAGGAGCUCCUGCUGCAUGGUGGGGGUUGGAAAGUUUCGGCGGUUGGGGAUGGACUCGCGGCUUAUCAGCUUGUUGGUGGGGUAGUGGCUUACCAAGGCUUUGACGGGUAGCCGGCCUGAGAGGGUGACCGGCCACAUUGGGACUGAGAUACGGCACAGACUCCUACGGGAGGCAGCAGUGGGGAAUAUUGCACAAUGGGCGGAAGCCUGAUGCAGCAACGCCGCGUGCGGGAUGACGGCCUUCGGGUUGUAAACCGCUUUCGCUCAUGACGAAGCUUUGUGUGACGGUAGUGGGUAAAGAAGCACCGGCUAACUACGUG